CCUACGGGAGGCAGCAGUGAGGAAUAUUGGUCAAUGGACGAGAGUCUGAACCAGCCAAGUAGCGUGAAGGAUGACUGCCCUAUGGGUUGUAAACUUCUUUUAUAAAGGAAUAAAACGAGGCACGUGUGCCUUUUUGCAAGUACUUUAUGAAUAAGGAUCGGCUAACUCCGUGCCAGCAGCCGCGGUAAUACGGAGGAUCCGAGCGUUAUCCGGAUUGAUUGGGUUUAAAGGGAGCGUAGAUGGGUUGUUAAGUCAGUUGUGAAAGUUUGAGGCUCAACCGUAAAAUUGCAAUUGAUACUGGCAGUCUUGAGUACAGUUGAGGUAGGCGGAAUUCGUGGUGUAGCGGUGAAAUGCUUAGAUAUCACGAAGAACCCCGAUUGCGAAGGCAGCUUACUAAACUGUGACUGACAUUGAUGCUCGAAAGUGUGGGUAUCAAACAGGAUUAGAUACCCGUGUAGUC
rnacentral:rRNA from 1 species